AAGAGAGAGAAUAUGCAAUUAUGUCCUUCAAAGCAGGCAAGAAAGAUGUCUUGGUUGCAACCGAUGUCGCCUCAAAGGGUUUGGACUUUCCUGAUAUCCAACAUGUUAUAAACUAUGAUAUGCCUGCAGAAAUUGAAAAUUAUGUUCAUAGAAUUGGACGAACUGGAAGGUGUGGUAAGACAGGAAUUGCAACUACCUUUAUAAACAAAAACCAGAGUGAAACAACACUUCUCGAUUUGAAGCACCUAUUGCAAGAAGCAAAACAGAGGAUUCCACCUGUCCU
rnacentral:lncRNA from 1 species